UGGAUGCUCGAAAGCAGGCCAC
rnacentral:misc_RNA from 1 species